UACGAGGGGGGCUAGCGUUGCUCGGAAUUACUGGGCGUAAAGGGCGCGUAGGCGGAUAUUUAAGUUAGAGGUGAAAGCCCAGGGCUCAACCCUGGAAUAGCCUUUAAUACUGGAUAUCUUGAGUUCGGGAGAGGUGAGUGGAACUCCGAGUGUAGAGGUGAAAUUCGUAGAUAUUCGGAAGAACACCAGUGGCGAAGGCGACUCACUGGCCCGAUACUGACGCUGAGGCGCGAAAGCGUGGGGAGCAAACAGG
rnacentral:rRNA from 1 species